rnacentral:lncRNA from 1 species
AAUGCGCCACAGCCGAGGCAGCCCACGUGGCUCUAGGCGAAGUGGGGGGAGCAGGGGAGUGCAGAACGCAGGGCUAGGGGAGUGGGGAGGAAGGGCUGAGGGGGAGAGGCUGGUGGGGGUGAGGGGAAGCUCUGAGGCAGGCGUUUCCGGCAGAGCUGAGGAGAAACUUCCAGCAAGGCCGAGUGGGGAGCACUCAGGCUUGCAGCCUCUGAGCUGGUUCCUACAGACAACCAGGAAGGGGACCCAGCCUGAGGUACAAGUGGGCUGGAGCUGUCACACCUGUGCCGGAAGCCUUCCUGAGCUCUAGACCAGCAUCCAGCGCCUUCCACACACCUCCCCCUGGGUGUCCCUCAGGCACUUCAAUUCAGCGAGUUUAAAAGUGAGAGAUCUCCAACCCCUCCCCACAAUUUCCCUCCCCCUCACCCCUGGAACCCCAGCUAGUGACAGUGCCACCUUCUGCCCAGUCCGCCCAGCCCCCCAAGCCGGGCCUGGGAGGCAUCCUUCACUCUGCUCCCCACCCUGUCCCAUAGCCCUCCCGAUCCAACCAUCACCCCAAAAUUCCCUCUCUGGUGUUUUUUUCCCAGAAUCGUAUCGCAGCAGUGUGUCAAGAGACAUCUAGAAUAUCUCCCAGCUACUCAUCCAGCACAAUCUCUACACUGCAGCAAAACCGCCUUUUUAAGAUACAGAUUUAAUCCUGACGCUCUCCAGUUUAAAACCCUUCAACGGGGGCGCCUGGGUGGUGCAGUCGUUAAGCGUCUGCCUUCAGCUCAGGGCGUGAUCCCCGGCGUUAUGGGAUCGAGCCCCACAUCAGGCUCCUCCGCUAUGAGCCUGCUUCUUCCUCUCCCACUCCCCCUGCUUGUGUUCCCUCUCUCACUGGCUGUCUCUCUCUCUGUCAAAUAAAUAAAAUCUUUAAAAAAAAU